rnacentral:rRNA from 1 species
UACAGAGGGUGCGAGCGUUAAUCGGAAUUACUGGGCGUAAAGCGUGCGUAGACGGUUAUUUAAGUCGGGUGUGAAAGCCCCGGGCUCAACCUGGGAAUUGCAUUCGAGACUGAAUAGCUAGGGUACGGUAGAGGGAAGCGGAAUUUCCGGUGUAGCGGUGAAAUGCGUAGAUAUCGGAAGGAACACCGAUGGCGAAGGCAGGUCUCUGGGCUGACACUGACGCUCAUGCACGAAAGCGUGGGGAGCAAACAGG